rnacentral:tRNA from 1 species
GAGCCCAUGGCGCAGCGGUAGCGCGUGAGAUUCCAGCAAAUGGGAAAUCCUCAAGGUCAUCCGUUCAAAUCGGGUUGGGCUCA